AAAAAAGGCACAUUACAAGUUAGACAUGGGAGUAUCCCACUAUCUGAAAACAGCCAAUAAAAUCAAUUUGCAGGGAAGAAUUAUCAUACCAAAUCAAUGAGGAUAUUUGCUGCCAAAGGCUUAGGCAUGGAGGCCAACUGGAUUCUCAUCCAUGACCCUGAUAGGACAUCCUGAACCCCAUUUAUGUUGUUUUAAGAGUGAUUCCAUAACCUCAAGAGGGCUCUACUUCCCACUGGAGCCCAGAAGAAGCAGCAAGAAGAUGGCACAAAGACAGAGUCCUCCACUAGUGAGCCUCUUUAUCUUCCUUCUACAGAAACUCUGCAGAAACAGCAACUCAGGCUGUCCCUUAAGCAGCUUCAUUGUCAAAGGCUCAAUAGAAUUCUCCUUCUGAACAAAGGGAGCUACAUUUCUUUAUCUGUCUAAUUAAUGCUUAGACUUAAAAAGAAUGUAUUCAGUCUGCAGCCUAGAGAGGAUGAGCUACCUGAAAUAAAAAAAGUAUUUUCCUUUGGAA
rnacentral:lncRNA from 1 species